GACCAGUACCGAUGGAACACGCGUAGCAGUGAACAAAUACAUCGAGGAUAACUUUGGAUUCGAGAAGAGCUUUCUCAAGUACACGGCCAUUGGGCUGCUAGGAUGGGCUGUUAUAUUCGCCGGGAUCUUUGUGCUUGCCAUUAGGUACCUCAACUUCCAACGUCGUUGAGAAAUCCCCACAAGGAGGUGGAGAGGAAGAAUUCAUUUGAGAACCAAUCACUGGAUUGGCUUUCCGACAAUUCACAUGAUUUUUUCAAUACUUGGCCAGGACAUGCAAAGAAGGCUCACACUGGGUCUGCAACUAGACUAGCACUUUUUUCCCUUCACCUCACUUUAGAUCUCUGCAGUUUUUGUUGUCUUUGCGUUGAUAGCAGUGCACUCGAAGUGCUCAGAUAGAGAGUAGAGCAGCUGCAACAGAGAUUACAAUGUGUACAUAAUUGAUUUGCAGCAGUUUCUGUAUUCCUCUGCUUGCAGG
rnacentral:lncRNA from 1 species